AAGUCGUAACAAGGUCUCCGUAGGUGAACCUGCGGAGGGAUCAUUAACUUGUAAGCAAUGUUAGCCGAAGGCUCUCAUUGUAUCAACACAAACAAACAUCGCGGUCACACGUGUCAUUCAGUUGACACAAUGCCAGCCCCGAAUUGAAAAGCGUAACGGAGCAUUUAGUUGCUGUCCAGUUGUCAGUCACCGUUUGGCGUGAGUGUAGUGUGAGCUAGCAAUAGUUUGCAUUUGCAUUCUGGUGAGGCGACCUCGCUUAGUAUGUUCGGACCAAUUUCACCAAACCUAUCUCACCAUUUCGUAACAACAAUAGACUGAAACAAUUGGACGUUGUGGUUGUUAAUUCAGCUGCAAUAGCCGACUUUCGAGUUAUUCGAAAUCUAAGCACAACUCUUAGCAACGGAUAUCUUGGUUCUC
rnacentral:misc_RNA from 1 species